rnacentral:sRNA from 1 species
GAACGUUGCGUCAGCAACGGCCCGCAGGGCGAGUCACGCAGUGGCGAGUCAUCCUCUAUCACCGACCA